GGGGGCGCAAUGGUUUCGACGGGAUUGUUGAGACUUAAGUAGCGGGUAGAGGAUUCUCGUAGGCCUCUUAAAAAAACGGGAAACUAAAAUUAAACGCUAAAAACGAUAAUUUAGCUUUAGCUGCCUAGGCAGCUAACGUCUAGCCCAGGUUCCUGCACCUGGGGGCCUAGGCGUCGAUAAGUCAGGCCUUUUGCAUAGGAAGGUUAAAUGCUAGAACUGCUGUGGUGGUAGCCUUGAGCUGCAGCGGAACUUAAAGGCUACGGUAGAGCAAACCCUGCCCUUGGGGGAUGUUCGUCAGGAAUGCUAAAUUGAGGGAUACACCCGUAGAGGCUUUUGUGGAUAUGGUUUCGGACAGGGGUUCGACUCCCCUCGCCUCCACCA
rnacentral:tmRNA from 1 species